CCUACGGGGGGCAGCAGUGGGGAAUAUUGGACAAUGGGGGCAACCCUGAUCCAGCCAUGCCGCGUGUGUGAAGAAGGCCCUCGGGUUGUAAAGCACUUUCAGUGAGGAAGAACGCCUGGUGGUUAAUACCCAUCAGGAAAGACAUCACUCACAGAAGAAGCACCGGCUAACUCCGUGCCAGCAGCCGCGGUAAUACGGAGGGUGCGAGCGUUAAUCGGAAUUACUGGGCGUAAAGCGCGCGUAGGUGGCUUGAUAAGCCGGUUGUGAAAGCCCCGGGCUCAACCUGGGAACUGCAUCCGGAACUGUCAAGCUAGAGUGCAGGAGAGGAAGGUAGAAUUCCCGGUGUAGCGGUGAAAUGCGUAGAGAUCGGGAGGAAUACCAGUGGCGAAGGUGGCCUUCUGGACUGACACUGACACUGAGGUGCGAAAGCGUGGGUAGCAAACAGGAUUAGAUACCCGUGUAGUC
rnacentral:rRNA from 1 species